UACGAAGGGGACUAGCGUUGUUCGGAAUUACUGGGCGUAAAGCGCACGUAGGCGGAUUUGUUAGUCAGGGGUGAAAUCCCGGGGCUCAACCUCGGAACUGCCUUUGAUACUGCAAGUCUUGAGUCCGGAAGAGGUGAGUGGAAUUCCUAGUGUAGAGGUGAAAUUCGUAGAUAUUAGGAAGAACACCAGUGGCGAAGGCGGCUCACUGGUCCGGUACUGACGCUGAGGUGCGAAAGCGUGGGGAGCAAACAGG
rnacentral:rRNA from 1 species